GGGUUCCUACGGGACGCAGCAGUCGGGCAUAUUGCGCAAUGGAGGAAACUCUGACGCAGUGACGCCGCGUAUGGGAAGAAGGUUUUCGGAUUGUAAACCAUUGUCGUUAGGGAAGAAGAAGUGACAGUACCUAAGGAGGAAGCUCCGGCUAACUAUGUGCCAGCAGCCGCGGUAAUACAUAGGGAGCGAGCGUUAUCCGUAUUUAUUGGGUGUAAAGGGUGCGUAGACGGGAAUACAAG
rnacentral:rRNA from 1 species